GACGAACGCUGGCGGCGUGCCUAAUACAUGCAAGUAGAACGCUGAAGAGAGGAGCUUGCUCUUCUUGGAUGAGUUGCGAACGGGUGAGUAACGCGUAGGUAACCUGCCUGGUAGCGGGGGAUAACUAUUGGAAACGAUAGCUAAUACCGCAUAAAAUUGAUUAUUGCAUGAUAAUUAAUUGAAAGAUGCAACUGCAUCACUACCAGAUGGACCUGCGUUGUAUUAGCUAGUUGGUGAGGUAACGGCUCACCAAGGCGACGAUACAUAGCCGACCUGAGAGGGUGAUCGGCCACACUGAGACUGAGACACGGCCCAGACUCCUACAGGAGGCAGCAGUAGGGAAUCUGCGGCAAUGGGGGGAACCCUGACCGAGCAACGCCGCGUGAGUGAAGAAGGUUUUCGGAUCGUAAAGCUCUGUUGUAAGAGAAGAACGGGUGUGAGAGUGGAAAGUUCACACUGUGACGGUAUCUUACCAGAAAGGGACGGCUAACUACGUG
rnacentral:rRNA from 1 species